AGCCGUUGGUCAAAAUUGCAAAUCAGCGACAGAAUGUACUUCAAAUGCAGAUUGCGAUACAACUGAAAAAUGUGCAUGUAAAGAUGGCCUCAAGAAUGUAAACGGGUUAUGUGCACCUUCAUCUGCCGGGAUUCACAGACUUGCAUUUACCAUCUUUGGCGCAUCUCUAUUGGUGACUAUCUUGAUUUUCCUCUAAAGGUUACUGUUGGAGCAGAAGAAAACAGACAUUUCAAAAAAAUUGAUGUCUAGCAAAAUCUCGAAAUAUUAACUUGUUUUGGUGUCUGUGUCUCCGUCCCUGUAUAUCUGGAAAAAAAAUUAUGACCUAACUAACUGAAGUUUUAAAACUUGCUUUUAAAUUAUGCACACUAAAAUACUUCUAUUCAAGAUAUGAUAGUUCGCUAUGAAGCCUUCCAAAUGCAGCAAAACGCUGACAUCUUCUUGCCGAUAGGUGUUUGUUCGUGCAUUUUUAAUGGACUGUUUCAAGAUAAUUAUAUUUGGAGACAACUGGUCUGGCUUCCGACAAAUCUUUAUGUCAUCAUCGAAAAUUUAUUUGUUAAACUAUUUGCUUGGUCUAUCAAAUAUGCAGAAAUUACUUCUACUGCGCCAGGCAAUAAAUGAUUUCUAAAAAUUCAUGUAACAUACUCAGAGAACGUCUUCUUCAGUUAUGCUGAUAAAUAAUGUUUUAUUUUUCUAAGCCAUUCCUAUUUGCUGAAAAUCUGCUACACAUCUGGAAGCUACGUACUGUCCUGUUUCAUUUUAUAUCUGUUAUAAAUUUAGUAGGGUUUACACAUAAUUGAUAACACAUACUGAAAUUUCAUUAACCUGCAACACAGCUAUAAGAAUUCUUUGGAAGCAUAGAAUGCCACGCUACAUUUAAAGCAGACUUGGUUUGACAGAUUAUAUUCUUGAAAGGCAUUGAAUUAUGUCACACCUCUUUUGCUCCAACAGUAAGCAAUAGAUGUUUUACGAGUUCUAAAUCAUCUAUUCUUUCGUAAAGGUAGUCUUGAACAAUUGUUUUAAUUUCAAAUGAGUAUUUUUCAUAGAUUUGUGAUUGUGUAUCAUGGACUUGAAUAUGCCCCUGGUUCAUACUGUCCUUCUUAUGUAUGAAACUGGACAAGUAAUACACAAAAAUUGAAUAUAAAUGGCUAAACACCAUAUCCUUAUUCCUUUCGGCCUAAAAGUUUGUACUUGAUCUAGCAAUAAAAUUGGUAGGACCUUAAUAACCUGGACAUCUUAAGAAAACUUCACCACAUGAUUGUCUCAACAGACAAAUAUCUUUGUUGUAACAAUUCGUAUAAUUAUGAUUUAUAUCUGAAAGUUUAAUCUACAAUCGAGGCUCAUAGGCGCUUUGGGUAUUAUUCCCAUCGCAAGCCUAAUAAACAUGAUUAAACAAUGUUGCUCAUUUGAAAGUAGAUCGAAGUUAAGUUAUAAAAUCGUUUACAAAAUUGUCACUUAAUGUAGCAACAACUGACCCUAGAACUAUUUAUGAACAGAAAUCUGUAUUACUGAAUAUCCGUGUUAAUUUUAAUAUAACGAAUGUUUCUAUUAAAUGAAAACAAUAUGUGCUGAAUCAAUAAAAUGUUGAUUUGUUUGUUUUGUAUUGCAUUGAUCUGUCACAAAACAUUAAACUUCAAGUCGUUCAAUGCAUAACGCCAUUAGCAGUUAAAUCUUCAGAUUUAAUCUUUAUUAGUCCCCUACUGAUUGAAAACCAGUUUCGGGGACUACAGGAAUGCGACUUUCCGUCAUUCCGUCCGUCCGUCCGUCGGUCCGUCCGUCCGGGCUAACGAAUUGGUACUUGAGUGUCUAGCAGGUUAGGGUUUGGACUCUUUGUUUAUAUAACAGUCACUUUAAAAAGUGUCCGAAAGUGGGUUUAUGUGACUAAAUUUUGGGUUUAUGUGGCUAAAAUAUUUAACGUUGUAAAGUCACUUAAGUAUCAUAUCGUGAGUACUUCCGUCCGUCCGUCCGCAAUUUUGUGUCCGGUCCAUAACUCUGUCAUCCAUGAAGGGAUUUUAAUAUUACUUGGCACAAAUGUUUCCCAUGAUAAGACGACAUGUCAUGC